GCAAAACUAAAAGGUAGAUAUCUGGAAUGAAUGUAUAUGUUGUAAUUGAGGCAGAUAUUUGCCUUAAUUGGAAGGAUCUAACUGCUUUACAAAUAUUAAACAAGUGCUUGGGCAUGAUUGGGAGAGGAGGCAGCUUAGCUGGAAGCUGUGCCCAUCUUACUGUCACUGGAGAAUAGGAUGUCAGAGCUGGGCAGGACUGGUACCCAUCAUUUGCAGUUUGCAUGUGGGGAAACCAAAGCCCUAAGAAACAACAGUUCCUGGCCCAAAAAAUCCAUAGAAAGAGGUAACUAGUGGCAGAUUUGGGGCGCCAACCUGAUUUUAUGGAUUUUGAGUUAGAUUCUCUACCCUCUAUCAAUACUAAAAAUAGAUUAGGAGGGUUUUUUUUUCUGUUUAUCAUGUUGAAUUUCAUUGACUUAAUUAGUCUUUAAAUUUGAAAACAUGUUUUAGGGAGUUUAGUUCUAGAAAUUUCUCUUAGAUUGAAGUGACAGAAUCUGAAAGAAAAGAAUAUGAUUGAGCUAUUUGUUUUCCUGAACACCUCACCUUUUAUGAUGCAAUAAGUUACUCUGAGUUUCUUGGCAGAGUUUUUGACAGCUGUUGCUUUCAAUGGAUUCCAUUCCUGUAUUCCUUAUGGGAGGUUGUUUUUAAAAUAGACUACUGCGAUUGAAAUGAACUCAAUAUGUAGUUAAGUUAUAGUUUUCUUCAAUGUAUUUUUAGUUACUUGGGUCACAAAUGUUCAAUUUCAGCAUAUUUUAGGGUGAGUAAUCAAAAAUGUGAAUUUGCCUUUGAUUUCCUACCACUGUCUGAGCUAUCAUAAAGCAUUCUCUUUAGUUGUGAUUUGAUUCUAUAGUCUGUUUCUAAAUGACAUUUGUCUGUUUCUUAAAUGAUCUCACAGCCAUGGUAAUAAUAGAUGUGUACUCAGAAGAUCAAUAAGGUAAUAUUGGAAUUCAUGUGUUUUUUGCAAUUAAGGCAGGCAUUUGCCAAUGUCUUCUUUUAAGCAGUAGUUGGAAACAUCUCAAUUACAGUGUAACACCUUAGAGCUAAAAACAUUUGUUCAACACAAACUAGAAUCACACCUUCUCACUAGAUAUCACCAAGGGAAUGUGGUUUUAAAAAUAAAAAGAAAACAAUAUAACGUAUCAUGGCAACCAGAGCUUCCCAUAUUAUUGACAAGUAGGGAUCAUUAGGUUCUGGUUUGAACAUUCUGAAUGUGAACAAAAUGAAAUAGUAGUUAAGAGGUGUUUUCCCACUGUGUUUAAAGAGAACACUAGUAAUUCUGGUUUUUCUUUCUAACUGCUUUACUGUUUCAAGGGUAUUCUUUUAAAACUCUGAUUUCAAAGGAUCAGUUGAAUUUAUACUUUAGUUAUGGGUGUUUUGUUACUUUUUUUUUUUUUGUAUCAUGACUCAGUAUGGUUCAAUUUCCUAGUAAGAAGUGGGGAUUUGUGUUUUUGGAGUCCUCAGCUCACAUGUCUUGUUCCUCCUUCAGCACAAGCUAGGGGAGAUCCUACCAACACUGAUAGGUCAGUCAUUGAUGGCAAUUUGAAUGUGGGUAUUACUCUGUGAGCCACCCUGCUUCGCUUGUUUGUAAGGAGAAAUGCAUCUGGUUAUGUGAAUUUCCCGAGAGCAGCAGACAUGGAGGGCCAGACUUUAAAAGCAACGCAAGCAGAUUCGAAGAGCUGUUGCCCUCUUCUAAAAAAGGCUUUUGGAGGCUGUGUUACAUGCAUGCCCUAAAGCAGUCAGUCUGUUAGUAUGAGCAAGACAUCUGAAGUACACAGUUGCUUUUAGGCUUGUAUAGUUAUUUUCUACACAUGCCAACACACAUGAUGAUAAAGGAACCUUUUCUAGGAGGCAUUGCAGGGUUUCAAUACACAGGACAUGUUCUAGUUACAGAAGCCUUGCUCUGCUGUCAACAAUUGGGAAAUGCUCAUUUUUUCAUGUUUUGUGAAUACUCUGGUCUUGCUGUAAGCUAAUGUCAUGGCUGUGGGAUAUUAGAGAAGUGGGUUUAUGACUCUGAAGACCAGCAGACACCAGACUUUAAAAGUGCUUAAAUUGGAAUUUGGAAACUACAGUAAAGAAACCUUCAGAUACCAGUUCCAUCCUGAAGCCCUCUGUUGAACAACAGGGCCAGAUCCUAAAGCUCUUUCAGGGAGCUCUUCUCUGGGGCUGGAACAGUUGAUUAUGCAACCCCAUUGUGUGGAGAUUGGAUCAACUGAGUUGUGUUAUUUUUGUUUUAAGUCACCUUGUGCGAGAACCUCAACCGCACCUAUCUUGGGAACCGGGUAUACCCUUUUCUUUAGCACUGCUAUCCUUUUUGUCUUCAGCACAAAUAAGAUGUUCAAGUGAGCCAGAAGCAAGAAGAGCCAUUUUAGUCUUCAUAGCUAUUGGCUAAGAGAGAUAAUGAGCUGAUGGUCUAUUUUAACCUUGAAAGUAAAAAUGUAUAUUUUUUCACUACAAGUACAUUGAACAGUAAAAAGUGUAACAGCAAAGUAU
rnacentral:lncRNA from 1 species